CUACGGAGGGUGCGAGCGUUAAUCGGAAUUACUGGGCGUAAAGCGUACGUAGGCGGUUGGUUAAGUUAGAUGUGAAAGCCCCGGGCUUAACCUGGGAACUGCAUUUAAAACUGGCGAACUAGAGUUGAGUAGAGGGGAGUGGAAUUUCAGGUGUAGCGGUGAAAUGCGUAGAGAUCUGAAGGAACACCAGUGGCGAAGGCGACUCCCUGGACUCGAACUGACGCUGAGGUACGAAAGCGUGGGUAGCAAACGGAAUUAGAUACCCCAGUAGUCC
rnacentral:rRNA from 1 species